GACGAACGCUGGCGGCGUGCUUAACACAUGCAAGUCGAACGGAAAGGCCCUGCUUUUGUGGGGUGCUCGAGUGGCGAACGGGUGAGUAACACGUGUGUAACCUGCCCUUGACUUUGGGAUAACUUCAGGUAACUGGGGCUAAUCUCGGAUAGCAUCUCCUGCUGCAUGGUGGGGGUUGGAAAGUUGCGGCGGGUGGGGAUGGACGCGCGGGUUAUCAGCUUGCUGGUGGGGUAGUGGCUUACCAAGGCUUUGACGGGUAGGCGGCAUGAGAGGGUGGACGGGCACCAGGGGACUGCGGGACGGACCAGACGCCUACGGGAGGCAGCAGGGGGGAAUAUUACACAAUGGGCGGGAGUCUGAUGCAGCGGCGCCGCGUGCGUGAUGACGGCCUUCGGGUUGUGAACCGCUGUCGCCUGUGACGAAGCGGGAGUGACGGUAAUGGGUGAAGAAGCACCGGCUAACUACGUG
rnacentral:rRNA from 1 species